rnacentral:rRNA from 1 species
GCAAGUCGAACGGUAAGGCUCCUUCGGGAGUACACGAGUGGCGGACGGGUGCGUAACGCGUACGAAAUAUACCUUCAACAGGGAGAUACCCCCGGGAAACUGGGAUUAAUACCCCAUAGCAUUGCGACCUCGCAUGAGGAUGCAAUUAAAGCUUUGGCGGUUGGAGAUUAUCGUGCGUCUGAUUAGUUAGUUGGUGAGGUAACGGCUCACCAAGACGAUGAUCAGUAGCUGGUCUGAGAGGAUGAUC